UUGACGCCGUCCGAUGUAGUUGUUUAAUCGUGUGUACGCUGUGCCGAGAGAAAUUGUGGUGCAUUUUGUAUGCAUUGAGAAUCACAAAACCCCUGGGACCGCGUAAUGUAGCCCGCAGUAUCCUUCGUGUGGUGCGCCGAUGUCGAAGAUAUGACCCUUCGCGCUUCCUUUGUUCCGGGCUCAUGAACAGGAUCUCCUCCUCUGGCACUGUCGCAUCGUAUCGCGCUGUACGGAAGAAUUUGGUGAAAGUUGUGCUCUUACGUCCUGUAGUUGAUCCGCAAUUCAACAGUGUGUGCGCCGGAAGGACCGUUGGUGCAGUCGAUGCCACGGCACCUGCGACACUAAAAGGAGCGUUUUCCGAGUACGCCUAGAAAGGGAUGGCAAGAUUUUGUGAACCAGAGGCACCUCCACAUAUGCACCUGCGGCACUUCUGCAGCCUCAACAGCACGGAAAAGUACCUGAUGUGCAUGCUGUGACAAGCUGCUGUAGGUAUGGCUGGACCUGGAGAAGAAGUGUAAGCAGACCAUGCUAUGUUGCUGAUCUGCGCUGAUCUCCACAUCCAAGUUGGUCCCGCGACAGUUGGGCACCAUUGUGCCUUGCUUCAUUGACAAGGUGAUAUAAUAUGGUG